rnacentral:rRNA from 1 species
UACGGGGGGGGCAAGCGUUGUCCGGAUUUAUUGGGCGUAAAGAGCGUGUAGGCGGCCAGGUAGGUCCGCUGUGAAAACUCGAGGCUCAACCUCGAGAUGUCGGCGGAAACCAUCUGGCUAGAGUCCGGAAGAGGAGAGUGGAAUUCCUGGUGUAGCGGUGAAAUGCGCAGAUAUCAGGAGGAACACCGGUGGCGAAGGCGGAUCUCUGGGCCAUUACUGACGCUGAGGAGCGAAAGCGUGGGGAGCGAACAGG